UGAUUUUGAGGUGGGAUCAAAUGCAUUGGAAAGCUUAAGAUGUCUACUUCAAAUGUUAUGUUGAACAAAAUUUCAAAAUCUCAAAGGAAAUACAUGUGAUAAUGCAAGACAUUAUAGGUCCUUUUUGACCAAAUGCAUUAAAAGUCAAAAAAGUCCAACUUCAAGUGCCCAUAACUCUUUCAUCAAAAAUUCAAAUGAUGCAAAAUUUAAGUCUAUUUUGAUUGUCUUGAAAAUAUAUACAACUUUGAUGUUGGAGGGUUUUCCAUUUGAAGCUU
rnacentral:lncRNA from 1 species